GUGGGGAAUCUUGCGCAAUGGGCGAAAGCCUGACGCAGCCAUGCCGCGUGAAUGAUGAAGGUCUUAGGAUUGUAAAAUUCUUUCACCGGGGACGAUAAUGACGGUACCCGGAGAAGAAGCCCCGGCUAACUUCGUGCCAGCAGCCGCGGUAAUACGAAGGGGGCUAGCGUUGCUCGGAAUUACUGGGCGUAAAGGGCGCGUAGGCGGACAGUUAGUCAGAGGUGAAAGCCCAGGGCUCAACCUUGGAAUUGCCUUUGAUACUGGCUGUCUUGAGUACGGGAGAGGUGAGUGGAACUCCGAGUGUAGAGGUGAAAUUCGUAGAUAUUCGGAGGAACACCAGUGGCGAAGGCGGCUCACUGGCUCGAUACUGACGCUGAGGUGCGAAAGCGUGGGGAGCAAACAGGAUUAGAUACCCCGGUAGUCC
rnacentral:rRNA from 1 species